AUGAGUCCGCGUGCGUGUGUGCGUUCGCGCGUGUGUGGGGGAGGGGUAAUUUGUUCAUCCUCAGACACUCCCACUUUCCCUUUCCUCCUCUGCAGCGUGCAUAACUUCAACACUCCGACCCACACUUUCACAGUGCGAUCUGGACUCUACAUUGAACAGAUUAUCCGACCGGUAUCGUUAAUCAUGGAUUUGAAAUACUUGGCGGUUAUGGCUGUGCUCGCUGUGGCGACAUACGCUCCUUUCUCACAAGGGUUGUCAACUGAUUUAUUGGAGCCUGGUGGAGAUAGAUGCAAACCUACCAGCAGGACAUUCCUCUGCAUCCAGGUUGAGGCUUGCUACCAGCAGGAACAUGGAGCACUCUGUGUCAGUGAGUCAUGAUAUUGUUUUCCUUUAUAUUGCAUUAAACUAGGGAGGAGGCCCUGGGCCAGUGGGAGGUCAGGGUUGAGCGCUGUCUCUCUUUCUAGCACUCACCUUUCUAGCACUCACCCUUAUCCAUCUCUCUCCAGGUGCUACAGAGACAGAAUGGUCCAAGGACUUUCAAAGCCUUCUGACCAACUAACUGCGAUCUCUCCAGAGUACAGAGAAGUAGUCUACACUCAUAUUAGUAUACUCGAUGCACUAUGUAAACCUACUUCACUAUGGUAGUUCUGCCUGUGUGAUAACAUAGCAUAUUAUCAAGGGCCACUGGUUGGAUUGGAUUUACUGUACUCACGCCAAAACUCUUGCUCUCCCCUCUCUGUAAAAAGCUCCCAAACAUUUGUCAAAACUAACAUGUGUCCAUCCCCCUAUCCCCAGAUGAGUCUGCUAGGCAAUGGAACUUUAGAGCAGCACAUCAAAAGACCUGCCACCCUGUUGUCAGCUAUCUACAAUAUCAAGGCUUUCAAAGGAUACAUUUUGGGGAUGAGUUUUGUAUAAACUCAUUUUAUUGUUGUUAGAUUACAAUACUACUUUUCAUAGCAUGUUUGUAAUGUUGGGUCUUCACACUACCUUUGACUAACUUCUGUUGUAACUUAAACACAAAGACACUUGGAGCUUGUGAUUCAAAAAGUCUAAAGUAAAUGCAACGCAAGUCCAGGGUGAAUACAUUUUUAUUCAUGUACAGUGCAUUCGGAAGGUAAUCAGACCCCUUGACUUUUUCCACAUUUUGUUACGUUACAGCCUUAUUCUAAAAUUGAUUACAUUUUUUUAAAUCAUCAAAACAACACCCCAUAAUGACAAAGCAAAUUUCUAACAAACUUAAAUAUCACGCUUACAUAAGCAUUCAGACCCUUUACUCAGUACUGUGUUUUUGGCAGUGAUUACCGUCUUGUCUUCUUGGGUAUGACACAACGACCUUGGUAAACCUGUAUUUGGGGACUUUCUCCCAUUCUUCUCUGCAGAUUCUUUCAAGCUCUGUCAGGUUGGAUGGUGACUGUCGCUGCACAGCUAUUUUCAGGAAUCUCCAGAUAUGUUCAAUCAGGUUCAAGUCUGGGCCUCUCAAGGGCAUACAGAAACUCCCGAAGCCACUUCUGUGUUGUCUUGGCUGUGUGUUUACGGUCCUUGUCCUGUUGGAAGGUAAAACCUUCACCCCAGUCUGAGGUCCUGAACGCUCUGGGGCAGGUUUUCAUCAAGGAUCUCUCUGUACUUUGCGCCGUUCAUCUUUCCCUCGAUCCUGACUAGUCUCCCAGUUCCUGCUGCUGAAAAAAAUACCCGCAGCAUGAUGCUGCCACCACCAUGCUUCACUGUAAGGAUGGUGCAAGGUUUCAUCCAGACAUGACGCUUGGCAUUCAGGCCAAAGCAUUCAAUAUUAGUUUCAUCAGACCAGAGAAUCUUGUUUCUCAGUCCUUUAGGUGCCUUUUGGCAAACUCCAAGUGGACAGUCGUGCCUUUUACUGAGGAGUGGCUUACGUCUGGCCGCUCUACCAUAAACGCCUGAUUGGUGGAGUGCUGCAGGUGGAGUGCUGGUUGUCCUUCUGGAAGGUUCUUCCAUCUCCACAGAGGAAUUUCCCUGGCCAAGACCCUUUCCCUCGGUUGCACAGUUUGGCCAGCUUUAGGAAGAGUAUUGGUGGUUCCAAACUUCUUCCAUUUAAAUAUGAUGGAGGCCACUGUGUUCUGGGGGACCUUCAAUUCUACAGACGUUUUUUGGUACCCUUCCCCAGAUCUAUACUUCGAUACAAUCCUGUCUUCGAGCUCUGACAAUUCCUUUGACCACAUGGCUUUGUUUUUGCUAUGACAUGCACUGUCAACUGUUGGACAUGUGUGUGCCUUUCCAAAUCAUGUCCAAUCAAUUGAAUUUACCACAGGUGGACUCCAAUCAAGAUGUAGAAACAUCUCAAGGUUGAUCAAUGGAAACAGGAUGCACCUGAGCUCAAUUUCGAGUCUCAUAGCAAAGGGUUCGAAUAUCUAUG
ensembl:lncRNA